rnacentral:rRNA from 1 species
UACAGGAGGUCCCAAGCGUUGUUCGGAUUCGAUUGGGCGUAAAGGGUGCGUAGGCGGCGCGGUAAGUCGGGAUGUGAAAUCUCGGAGCUUAACUCCGAAACUGCAUUCGAUACUGCCGUGCUUGAGGACUGGAGAGGAGACUGGAAUUUACGGUAGUAGCGGUGAAAUGCGUAGAUAAUCGUAAGGAAGACCAGUGGCGAA